GCCCCUCGCGGAACCCCGGCCUGUGCGCAGUUCCCGUGCCCUAGGAGUUGGCGGCGGGGCCCAGCCGAGGUAUAAGUUCCACAGCUUCACCCUUGUCGGUGUGAUAUGGGCGUGAAAGAAGACAUAAAACAGGCUUCCCGAGUAGAACCUGCCACCCCGGGCUGGUGGGGACGCGGCACCAGGCCGGGCCGGGGGAAGCCGCUCGGACAGUGGUCCUUGGAAUCUUCUUCCCUUCUGGUCUGACUAGGAAAGCCAGAGGGAGAUGGUGAAGGAGACACAGAGAGAGUAAAAGAACAGACCAUGCCCAGCCUCUCCACUGCAGGAGCUUGGAAUCAGUGAAGCAGAGUUGCCAGCCAUCUAUGGAUCCUAACUAAAUUGGUCCUUGUAAUACUCGGUAUUAUUUGCCAAGAUAUUGAAAAACCUCUAAACAGUGAGAAGGGUUUGAGAAACAUCACAGAAUUUAAACACGGGAAACCAAUAUAAAAACCCUCUCAUGCAAAGAAACAGUGCGGCUGACUGUACAUUGUUUCUAUUCAUGGCUCGCUAGUUUUACAUUUUCUGAUCAGUUACUGCCACUGAGACCAAGAAACCAGCUUCUUCAAGAGCAUCCAUAGACUGUCUGAAGGCCUUGCAUUAUUGAUUUUCUGCUCAUAGAUUCCAGUUGCUGUCAAUCAUGGGCCAGAUAUACAAGAUGGCAGUUAAUAAGCAAAAGGACGGAGCUCCCAUGAAGACAACAAAAUAAUUCAGGAGAUCUGACUGAAACAGAAAAUGCUAAAAUCCUCAAGAGAAAAGAAAUCAGAUAAGCCUUCCUGGAAAGAAAAGUCCAUGGUCAAACAAAAUGACAUGUUAUCUUUGUAAGGGAGUAUAUUCCUGCCAGGUAUGUCUGGAAUUUGUUCACCAAAUUAAUUAAUUGAUGAAAACAUUUAUUAAGUUUCUGUUAGGCAACAUUAUCGGCAGUGAGGACACAGUGAGGAAUACUGUUCUGCUUCUAUUGGAUAGAAACUUAUAGUGUAAACAUGUAAUUACAAGAAAAUGUGCUAAGCACUGUAGUACAGGUAAGUACAGAUGGCUUUGUGAGUAUAGAGGAGGGAGAUUCAACAGCCUGGGGUGUGGGUGUCAGGGAAGAUUUUACAUGUGACAGUUGAGUUGCAUCUUGAAGAAUGCUUAGGAGCUCUAUAAGCAAAGGGAGUGGGGCUACGUCAGGCUGAGGACCUAGCAUGUGGUAAAAACCCAACACUUGCGCGUUCUUAUUAAUUCAAAUUUAAUGGACAUAUAAAUUAUUGAACAAGGCAUUCUUUAAACUAGAGAUAUGAACUGAACACCCUGCUAUGUUGGUUUUAAACUAUUUGAUGAUUUUUGCCUCAUCCUAUAUCAGCUGUAAUCCCACAGUGUCUAACUCGUGCUUUGGUCAAAGAAACUGCUCAAUAAAUAUUUGUUAAUGGAUUGAUUA
rnacentral:lncRNA from 1 species